rfam:Nematostella vectensis strain CH2 x CH6 NEMVEscaffold_231_Cont19841, whole genome shotgun sequence.
GCCCGGUUAGCUCAGAUGGUAGAGCAUCAGACUUUUGAUCUGAGGGUCAUGGGUUCGAGCCCCAUAUCGGGCG